rnacentral:rRNA from 1 species
UACGGAGGGUGCGAGCGUUGUCCGGAAUCAUUGGGCGUAAAGGGCGCGUAGGUGGCCCGGUCAGUCUUUGGUGAAAGCGCGGGGCUCAACCCUGCGUCGGCCAGGGAUACUGCCGCGGCUCGAGCACUGUAGAGGCAGGCGGAAUUCCGGGUGUAGCGGUGGAAUGCGUAGAGAUCCGGAGGAACACCGACGGCGUAGGCAGCGCCCUAGACGAGACCUGACGCUCAGGCACGAAAGCGCGGGGAGCGAACAGG